rnacentral:rRNA from 1 species
CCUACGGGUGGCAGCAGUGGGGGAUAUUGCACAAUGGGGGGAACCCUGAUGCAGCGACGCCGCGUGGGUGAAGAAGCGCCUCGGCGCGUAAAGCCCUUUCAGCAGGGGAGAAAAUGACGAUACCUGAAGCAGAAGCCCCGGCUAACUACGUGCCAGCAGCCGCGGUAAUACGUAGGGGGCAAGCGUUAUCCGGAUUUACUGGGUGUAAAGGGGGCGCAGACGGCGAUGCAAGACAGGAUUGAAAGCCCGGGGCUCAACCCCGGGACUGCUCGUGGAACUGCGUGGCUGGAGUGCAGGAGGGGCAGGCGGAAUUACUGGUGUAGCGGUGAAAUGCGUAGAUAUCAGGAGGAACACCGGUGGCGAAGGCGGCCUGCUGGACUGCAACUGACGUUGAGGCCCGAAAGCGUGGGGAGCAAACAGGAUUAGAUACCCUUGUAGUC